rnacentral:lncRNA from 1 species
UGGUGGCCCAACGAACCCGGGGAAAGGGAGUGUGAGGGCUGGGGAAGUAGCUGAUGAAAAGGCGCAAACAGGGCAGAUAAAUCCCAGUCUUGCAUCUCCACUCACUGGGAUCCUGAAUGGAGCUCGGGAUCCAGCAGUAUUGGAGGUCCGUACAGCUUCAGCACCACUCAUUAGGCACCUUCAGAAGCUGGACAGCACCGGGGCCGCAGAGUACCAGAGGUCGGUUCCUGGGCUCUUCCCAAGACGCCAGGCCCAUGUCCACAAUUCCAGACUCCAUUCAACCGAGGCCAAGAGGGGAGCCCGCUGAAGACCCUCCUCACCUUGGACACACAUUCUGACGACAGCCUGGAGGAUGCCUGAACGCUCUGCACCUCAGAGUGGUCCCGGGUUUGGUGACA